GGGUUGUGAGGUUAAGCGACUAAGCGUACACGGUGGAUGCCCAGGCAGUCAGAGGCGAUGAAGGACGUGCUAAUCUGCGUAAAGCGACGGUAAGG
rnacentral:rRNA from 1 species